GUUUAUCAGAAUAGUUAAAAACAAAUAGUGGCAUCACCAAAUGCUGUUGAGGAUGUAAGGAAAUUGCUCUCAUGCAUUGCUAGUGGAAAUGUAACAUGGUACAACCACUCUGAAAAGAGUUUUACAGUUUCUUAUGAAACUAAACAUGCUACUGUUGUAUGACCUAGCAAUUGCACUCUUGAUGUAUUUUCCUAGAGAAAUGAAAGGUUUACACAAAAAAUUAGACACAAAUGUUUAUAAAAGCUUUAUUUGUAAGAGCCACAAACUGGAACAAUAGCCACAAGUAGAAACAACCCUUGAUGUCCUUUGGUGCUUGAAUGGUUAAGUAAACCAUUGUAUAUCCAUAUGAUGGAGUACUAUUCAGCCAUAAAAGUAAAUGACCCAUUGAUACAGCACCUUGGAUGAUUCUUGAGAAAAUUAUGCUAAGUGAGAAAAGCCAAUCCCAGAAGGUUACAAAAGGUAACAAAGUGUUAUAUAAAUUGUUCAACUUGUUAUGUAUGUGAUUCUACUCAUAAAACACUCUUAAAAUGACAAAAUUAUAGAAAUGGGGGACAGAUUAGUGGCUCUCAGGGGUGAGGGAUUAGGCAGAGGGAUGGUGAGGGGAGGACAGAUGUGGCUAUAAAAUGGCAUCAUGAGAGAUCUUUGUGCUGAUGGGAACACUCUUUACCUUGACAGUAUCAGUGUCAUUGUCCUGCUUGGGAUAUUAUACUAUGGUUUUACAAGAUCUUCCCACUGGGGGAAACUGGGUAAAGGGUACAGAGGAUCCCUCUGUAUUAUUUCUUGAAAUUGCAUAUUAGUUAACAAUUACCUCAAAAGUUUAGUUUUGAAAAUCAUAAUGUAUGUCCCUUUCAUUUUACUGAAAUAAAUAUUCAGAGCACUUAAUAACACAUUUUACAGUCCAGCUCAUCUCUAUGGUAUGGUCACCCAUGAUAAUAUGAAAAGAACCUUUGAAAGUUGUAUUUUCAGAAGCAAAAAUACCAACAAUACUAGGUUAUUUGCCUAGUCUCACUUGGAUUUUAAUGAGCUUGAAAAAUGCACCUGUUGUAUUAGAUGUAAUUUUUCCUUCUUUUUUUUUCCAGCCUUUUUCUCAUUGUUCUCGUCAUAUCAGACAUUAUGGCUUUGCAUUUUUUCUUCUUGGUCAAGGAUUAUGGCAGCUGGCUUGAUAUUGGGACAAGAAAACUUCCUUCAGAGAAAUAAAAUACAGACAAGCAAAUGCUGAGAGAUUUUGUCACCACCAGGCCUGCCCUAAAAGAGCUCCUGAAGGAAGCACUAAAUGUGGAAAGGAACAACCAGUACCAGCCACUGCAAAAUCAUGCCAAAUUGUAAAGACCAUCAAGGCUAGGAAGAAACUGCAUCAACUAACGAGCAAAAUAACCAGCUAACAUCAUAAUGACAGGAUCAAAUUCACACAUAACAAUAUUAACUUUAAAGGUAAAUGGACUAAAUGCUCCAAUUAAAAGACACAGACUGGCAAAUUGGAUAAAGAGUCAAGACCCAUCAGUGUGCUGUAUUCAGGAAACCCAUCUCACGUGCAGAGACACACAUAGGCUCAAAAUAAAAGGAUGGAGGAAGAUCUACCAAGCA
rnacentral:lncRNA from 10 species